CAAACUAGAGAGAAAAGAAGGGGUUUUGCUAGGGCAAACUAUCUCAUAUAUUUCAUAAGCUAAAAAAAUAGAAGGCUCCUUAUAGUGGGGAUUAAAUACCCUGCAGCUAUGCCCUUCUAGGGGACUUGAAGCAAAAACAACAUGGACUCUCUUGGACAAGCUAAAAAUCGGACAAGGCCUAAACAAGAUGGGCCGACUCUACUAGGACAAGCUAAAGCAAAGGCUAAACAAAGGCCUUGAAUUAUUGGACUCAAAAGAAGCAAGAUGGGCCGACUCUACUAGGACAAGCUAAAGCAAAGGCUAAACAAAGGCCUUGAAUUAUUGGACUCAAAAGAAGUAAAUAAAGACUUAGACAAUUUGCCCAUGAGUUCUGAAAUUGAAAUUAAAAAGAAAACCAACACAAACCAGAAACAAUAAACCGGUUAGAAAUCAUAAUUGUAAUCUUACGUGCUUACCUUAAAUGGAUUGGGGCGGAUUACACAAAACUGGCUGAGUUUGGGGAAGCAUCUGAACCGAGAUCACAUGUAGAGAUGGUUAGGCCGGUCCUGUUCUGUCCAAGUGAUCUGAAUUGGAUCGGACCGGCUUGAUCUUGAACCUCCAUGGAACCGGCUGGAUCUUGAACCUUCAGUUGGAUCAUCUCUUCAAUCAGUAAUUCUUCAUCUUGAUCAAGGAUUUCCUGGACAGCUUUAGAAAAUCCAAGUUUUAUGGCCUUAGCUCCACUCUGGGUAGUCGGACCACUAGUAACUACAGGAACCUCUACUUGGAUGGCCGCAUCAACACAUGACGUCUGUGGCUCUCCAUCAGUACACAUAUCAUCACGCUGGUCCUAGGACUCAGCACGCUGGCCCUUCCUGUGGACUGUUUGGGUGAUUUUGGCCCACGUGGGUGUCUGCCAGCACACACAGGACGUCUGUGGCUGUCCGUCAGCACACACAGGACGUCCGUGGCUGUCUGUGUGUGUCCGUGUGUGUCCGUGUGUGUCCGUCAGCACACACAUGACGUCCGUGGCUGUCCAUCAGUACACAUAUCAGCACCCUGGUCCCUGGACUCAGCACGCUGGCCCUUCCCGUGGCCUGUUCAGGUGAUUUUGGCGGACGUGGCGAGAGCGGACCGCCUCGUGUCGGCAGGGGGACGGACUGGGAACGGCUCUUUCGGGAUCUUUCCCCGGGCGUCGAACAGCCAACUCAGAACUGGUACGGACAAGGGGAAUCCGACCGUUUAAUUAAAACUAAGCAUUGCGAUGGUCCUUGCGGAUGCUAACAUAAUGUGAUUUCUGCCUAGUGCUCUGAAUGUCAAAGUGAAGAAAUUCAACCAAGCGCGGGUAAAUGGCGGGAGUAACUAUGACUCUCUUAAUGUAGCCAAAUGCCUCGUCAUCUAAUUUGUGACGUGCAUGAAUGGAUUAACGAGAUUCCCACUGUCCCUGUCUACUAUCCAGCGAAACCACAGCCAAGGGAACGUGCUUGUCAGAAUCAGCGGGGAAAGAAGACCCUGUUGAGCUUGACUCUAGUCCGACUUUGUGAAAUGACUUGAGAGGUGUAGAAUAAGUGGGAGCUCCGGCGCAAGUGAAAUACCACUACUUUUAACGUUAUUUUACUUACUCCGUGAAUCGGAGGGGGGGGGGGUAACAAGCCCUUCUUUUAGACCCAAGACUCGCUUCGGUGGGUCAAUCCGAGCGGAGGACAUUGUCAGGUGGGGAGUUUGGCUGGAGCGGCACAUCUGUUAAAGAUAAUGCAGGUGUCCUAAGAUGCACUCAUUGAGAACAUAAAUCUCAUGUGGAACAAAAGGGUAAAAGCUCUUUCGAUUCAGAUUUUCAGUAUGAAUACGUACCGUAAAAGCGUGGCCUAUCGAUCCUUUAGACCUUCGGAAUUUGAAGCUAGAGGUGUUAGACGUCAUGUGUGUACUGAACAGACAGCCCACGUUGGCCAAAAUCACCCAAACAGUCCAUGGGAAGGGCCAGCGUGCUGAGUCCAAAGACCAAUGUGCUGAUAUGUGUACUGAUGGACAGCCACGGACAUCCUGUGUGUGCUGA
rnacentral:rRNA from 1 species